UACGUAGGGUCCGAGCGUUGUCCGGAAUUACUGGGCGUAAAGAGCUCGUAGGUGGUUUGUCGCGUUGUUCGUGAAAACUCACAGCUCAACUGUGGGCGUGCGGGCGAUACGGGCAGACUAGAGUACUGCAGGGGAGACUGGAAUUCCUGGUGUAGCGGUGGGAUGCGCAGAUAUCAGGAGGAACACCGGUGGCGAAGGCGGGUCUCUGGGCAGUAACUGACGCUGAGGAGCGAAAGCGUGGGGAGCGAACAGG
rnacentral:rRNA from 1 species